GAUGAACGCUGGCGGCGUGCUUAACACAUGCAAGUCGAACGGUGAAGCCAAGCUUGCUUGGUGGAUCAGUGGCGAACGGGUGAGUAACACGUGAGCAACCUGCCCUGGACUCUGGGAUAAGCGCUGGAAACGGCGUCUAAUACUGGAUAUGAGCUCUCAUCGCAUGGUGGGGUUGGAAAGAUUUAUCGCUCUGAGAUGGCCUCGCGUCUGAUUAGCUAGUUGGCGGGGUAACGGCCCACCAAGGCGACGAUCAGUAGCCGGACUGAGAGGUUGGCCGGCCACAUUGGGACUGAGACACGGCCCAG
rnacentral:rRNA from 1 species